rnacentral:rRNA from 1 species
GAUGAACGCUAGCGGCAGGCUUAAUACAUGCAAGUCGAGGGGCAGCAGCUUUGUAGCAAUACAGGGGCUGGCGACCGGCAAACGGGUGCGGAACACGUACGCAACCUUCCUUUAACUGGAAGAUAGCCCACCGAGAGGUGGAUUAAUACUCCAUAACAUAUUGAAGAGGCAUCUCUUUGAUAUUAAAGCUCCGGCGGUUAAAGAUGGGCGUGCGUCUGAUUAGGUAGUUGGCGGGGUAACGGCCCACCAAGCCUUCGAUCAGUAGCUGAUGUGAGAGCAUGAUCAGCCACACGGGCACUGAGACACGGGCCCGACUCCUACGGGAGGCAGCAGUAAGGAAUAUUGGUCAAUGGACGCAAGUCUGAACCAGCCAUGCCGCGUGGAGGAUGAAGG